AUUUUAAGUAUAUCUUGUAAUUAAGGUCAACACCUUUUAAGCUAUAUAUGAUUCUCAUAAGUUAGAUUACGAUCGGGCACAAUAUAAAAGAUCUUCACAUUACCAAAUAUACAACGCAACAAAGUUGCCUAAUUUCAAGAACAAACGGAAAUUAAAUACCAAAUGUAUUAGGCUAUUAGCCACUGAUAUCAGUUCAGUGAACCUUCGAGCUUUCGGUGAGCAGCUGCUUACCGUUUCUUCAUGUCUUCUAAUGACUUUGGUUUAAAGAAAUCUUCUUUCCCAAUAUAUAUUGUUCCCCAAUUCUUCAAAUAUUUCUUGCUGGAGAAAACCAUCUUUAGAAAGAGGAGCUGGAAAAAGACUGCAAAUUGUGAAUUCCCAAAAUAAGAAGAAAUGUUUGAGGUGCAAUACUCUUUAUCAAGACAAAGAUAAUUCCCCUAUUGCCUGCUUUUUCCACGGCCGCACUAAUGGGAAUCGAUCGAGAAUGGAGCGACGGAUCUGGAGUAAUCGUCUAUAAGUGGAACGACAAGGAUAAGAGGCCAAAUACAGGAAGAAAAAAUUGGAAAAAGAGAUGGAGCUGUUGUGCUGAGUAUUGAUGAAAAUGCUCCACCUUGUAGGCAAGGAUGGCAUGUCUCAUAUGAUGAUGGUUUCACAUUAUACUAAUCAUAUGUGAUCACUUGUUCGAGCCGUGAAAAUAAACUUUUGUAGAAAUACAGGGUAAGACUAUGUACAAUAGACCAUUGUAGUCCGACCCUUCCUCAGACCCUGUACAUAGCAGGAGUUUAGUGCACCGAGCAACCCUUUUUUUUUAAAUAUAUGCGAUCACUUUUAUUUUAGCUACAAUAAAAAUGCAAAAUUUGUUUCAAAUUUUCGAGGAAUGCCAUGACAUGCAUGCAAUAAGAAACACAUUUUUGUUGAGUUGA